rnacentral:rRNA from 1 species
UACGUAGGUGACGAGCGUUGUUCGGAUUUACUGGGCGUAAAGGGUCUGUAGGGGGCUGAAUAAGUCUGAUGUGAAAUCCCGGAGCUUAACUCCGGAACUGCAUUGGAAACUGUUUGGCUGGAGCAUCAGAGAGGAGAAUGGAAUUCCAGGUGUAGCGGUGGAAUGCGUAGAUAUCUGGAGGAACACCAAAAGCGAAGGCAGUUCUCUGGCUGAUUGCUGACCCUGAGGGACGAAAGCAUGGGGAGCAAACAGGAUUAGAUACCCUGGUAGUCCAUGCCCUAAACGGUGUGAACUUGAUGUAGGAGGAUUUAUCCCCUUCUGUGUCGAAGCUAACGCGAUAAGUUCACCGCCUGGGAACUACGGCCGCAAGGCUAAA